UACGAAGGUCCCGAGCGUUGUUCGGAAUCACUGGGCGUAAAGGGAGCGUAGGCGGCGUGGUAAGUCAGAUGUGAAAUCCCGGGGCUCAACCCCGGAACUGCAUCCGAUACUGCCGUGCUUGAGGGUUGGAGAGGUAGCUGGAAUUUACGGUGUAGCAGUGAAAUGCGUAGAUAUCGUAAGGAAGACCAGUGGCGAAGGCGAGUCUCUGGACAGUUACUGACGCUGAGGCACGAAGGCCAGGGGAGCAAACGGG
rnacentral:rRNA from 1 species